rnacentral:rRNA from 1 species
AGGGAAUAUUGCAAAAUGGGCGAAAGCCCGAUGCAGCAACGCCGCGUGGGCGAUGAAGGCCUUCGGGUCGUAAAGCCCUUUUUGAGGGGAUGAGGAAGGACAGUACCCUCAGAAUAAGCCUCGGCUAACUACGUGCCAGCAGCCGCGGUAAAACGUAGGAGGCGAGCGUUAUCCGGAUUUACUGGGCGUAAAGCGCGUGCAGGCGGAUUGGAGAGUUGGAUGUGAAAGCUCCCGGCUUAACUGGGAGAGGUCGCUCAAUACUUCCAGUCUUGAGUGCAGUAGAGGGAAGUGGAAUUCCGGGUGUAGUGGUGAAAUGCGUAGAUAUCCGGAGGAACACCAGUGGCGAAAGCGGCUUCCUGGACUGUAACUGACGCUCAGACGCGAAAGCUAGGGUAGCAAACG